AGGACGAACGCUGGCGGCGUGCUUAACACAUGCAAGUCGAGCGGAAAGGCCCUUCGGGGUACUCGAGCGGCGAACGGGUGAGUAACACGUGAGUAAUCUGCCCCUAGCUCUGGGAUAGCUCCGGGAAACCGGGAUUAAUACCGGAUACGACCACCUUAGACAUCUUUGUGGGUGGAAAGAAUUUCGGCUAGGGAUGAGCUCGCGGCCUAUCAGCGUUGUUGGUGGGUGACGGCCUACCGAAGGCGACGACGGGUA
rnacentral:rRNA from 1 species